UACAGAGGUCUCAAGCGUUGUUCGGAUUCAUUGGGCGUAAAGGGUGUGUAGGUGGCGCGCUAAGUCGGGUGUGAAAUUUCGGAGCUUAACUCCGAAACUGCAUUCGAUACUGGCGUGCUUGAGGACUGGAGAGGAGACUGGAAUUCAUGGUGUAGCAGUGAAAUGCGUAGAGAUCAUGAGGAAGACCAGUGGCGAAGGCGGGUCUCUGGACAGUUCCUGACACUGAGACACGAAAGGCCAGGGGAGGCAAACGGG
rnacentral:rRNA from 1 species